UACGAAGGGGGCUAGCGUUGCUCGGAAUCACUGGGCGUAAAGCGCACGUAGGCGGAUUGUUAAGUCAGGGGUGAAAUCCUGGAGCUCAACUCCAGAACUGCCUUUGAUACUGGCGAUCUUGAGUCCGGGAGAGGUGAGUGGAACUGCGAGUGUAGAGGUGAAAUUCGUAGAUAUUCGCAAGAACACCAGUGGCGAAGGCGGCUCACUGGCCCGGUACUGACGCUGAGGUGCGAAAGCGUGGGGAGCGAACGAGG
rnacentral:rRNA from 1 species